rnacentral:tRNA from 1 species
AUUUUUCUAGUAUAAUAAGUAUAACUAACUUCCAAUUAGUAGGAUUGAUAUAAAUCAAGAAAAAUA